GUUUCAAUUUGCAUUUUCCUGAGAAUUAGUGACAGUGAGCCCCUUUUCAUACACUUGGCUAUUUGUAUGUUUUCUUUGGAGAAUUGUCUAUUUGGUUCCUUUGCUUGUUUUUAAAAUCUGUGGUUUUUUUUUUUUUUUUUUUUUUUGCUAUUGGGUUUUAGGAGUUCCUUAUAUAUUUUGGAUAUGAACACUAUCAGUUAUGAGGUUUGCAAGUAUUUUUUACUAUUUUGUAGCUUGCCCUUUCAGUGUCUUGAUUGUUUUCUUUAACGUGCAGAAGCUUUUUAGUUUUACGUAACCUCACUAAUCACUGUUUCUGAAUAACUUGAUUAGACAGAUCUCCUGUGCAUUUAUUUCCAUUUGUUCCCCUCUGGCUUUUGGUGAAGUUUUUUCUUUUUGUAUGCUUAGCUAUUUUGUUUGAAUGUCUGAGAGUUUAUAUGAGUAUUUGAAAUAAUCAUAGUGGUAAUUUGAGACUCUAGAUAAUGGUAUCUUCCUCCAGAGAACAUUUUCUCUUGCUUCUGGAAAUUGGAUAGAUAGGGACUGAUCACUUUAAUCAAACUAGGAAUUGAAAUGGCCUGAAGCUGAGUUUCCACUCUUGUGAAGGCUGGACUGUCUCUUGUUAUUACAGCGAGGGUAUAACUCUUUAGGAUCCCGACCCAAGGUUUGGUGUGUUUACCGUGGCCCUUUCCUGGUGGGUCCUGAGCUCAAAUUUAUGUCUUUUUCCUUGUUAUAAAAUUGCCAAAAGCUCAGCCCAUCUUCUCAGGCUUCCAACCACUAUGUUUGGAAAUGAAAUAUGCCUUGAAGGAAAAAAGCUGCCAAAUGCUGGCCUUGCAGUUUUUGCAGAUCUUGGCCCCCAAAAUUCUUAGUCAUAGUGCCCUUCUGAUGCCUUCAAACAGAUAUGGGUGUGUAUGCACGUGUGUUAUUUUGUCCAUCUUUUCUAAUUGUUCUCAGUAGGAAAUGGGGCUAAGAAACCUAGGUAACACUGGUAGAAGCAGAGGUGCUGGCGACACUUACCAUAGAGUAGAGCAUAAAGUCCUUAUCGUGGGCACAGGAUCUGGUCAUUAUUGAUGGUUAAAUGGCUGGACAUGCCGUGAACUCUUCUAUGUCCCAGUCUUCAUCUUUGAAAUCACUGCAUCCCUAGGACAAGUUUUCUCACCAUCACAGUGUUGACAGUCCGGGCCAGAUGGUUCUAUGUUGUCAGGGGCUGCCCUGUUCAUGGUAAGAUGUUUUGUAAUGCCUGGUGUUUACCCACUAGAUGCCAGUAGGACUCUACCCCACAACUGUGGCCACUGAAAAUGUCUCCAGACAUUUGCUUCUGUCCCCUGGGGAUCAAAAUCACCCCUGGUUGAGAACUUGGGGUAAUUUAAGUGGUGCUCCGGUAAAGGCCAUUCAACAUGACUCACUGUGUUGAUGUUAUGUUUUCUAACAUUGACUUUCCUUU
rnacentral:lncRNA from 1 species